GAUGAACGCUGGCGGCGUGCCUAACACAUGCAAGUCGAGCGAAAAGACGAGCUUCUUCCUCCUCUCCAGUUAGGGGCGGACGGGUAAGUAAAACGAACAUAACCUACAUUUAGGGAUAGCAUAACUAAAGGAAACCUAAGACCAUAUCGGAUCAUAUAUUGAAACGCAUGGUUCGAUAGUCAAAGACGGUUUUGGUGUGCCUUUUACAUGGUUCCGGGGCGGAUUGGCUAGUUGGUAGGGUAACGGCUUACCAAGGCUACGAUGAGUAGCCGACCUGAGAGGGAGAGCUGCCACACUGGAACUGAGACACGGCCCAGACUCCUACGGGAGGCAGCAGUGGGGAAUAUUGGACAAUGGGGGAAAGCCUGAUGGAGCAACGCCGCGUGCGUGAUGAAGGUCUUCGGGUUGUAAAACGCUGUUGUUCGGGAAGAAAAAAUCUGUAAGAAACUAUGCACGUCAUGACGGUACCUGAAGAAAAAGCGACGGCUAACUACGUG
rnacentral:rRNA from 1 species